rnacentral:rRNA from 1 species
GCCCGCUCAGAAACUACAAAGGAAGUUGACGGGGGCCCGCGACAAGCGGUGGAGUAUGUGGUUUAAUUCGAUGCAACGCGAAGAACCUUACCUGGUCUUGACAUCCCGGAGACCCUUAGGAAACUAGGGGGUGCUUCCAUCUGGAAGAAUCUGGAGACAGGUGCUGCAUGGCUGUCGUCAGCUCGUGUCGUGAGAUGUUGGGUUAAGUCCCGCAACGAGCGCAACCCUUGCCUUUAGUUGCCAGCAGUUCGACUGGGCACUCUAAAGGGACUGCCGGUGUUAAACCGGAGGAAGGUGGGGAUGACGUCAAGUCCUCAUGGCCUUUAUGACCAGGGCUACACACGUACUACAAUGGCCGAUACAAAGGGCAGCGACACUGCGAGGUGAAGCCAAUCCCGUAAAAUCGGUCUCAGUCCGGAUUGGAGUCUGCAACUCGACUCCAUGAAGUUGGAAUCGCUAGUAAUCGUGGAUCAGCCAAGCCGCGGUGAAUACGUUCCCGGGCCUU